rnacentral:misc_RNA from 1 species
UACGGCUCCUUCUUAUCGGCAU